CCAGGUGAUGGUUUUCUGAGGCCUAAGGAAUUCCAUAGACAGAGGUUUCGGACCAGCCACAAGGGUCCACGGAAGACAUCCCCCGGGGACUGUGGGAGCUCUGCUACCGGCCAGAGUUCACUUUCAUCCCAGCACUUUCAUCUACUGCUGUGUAGAACCGGAAGUUUAACAGGGACAUGGCAACAAAAAGGUUUUGAAUAUCUGGGUGAGAAAGAACAGCUUCUCAAGUAAAAUGCUGACUGAGGAGACUGUCCGUUCACAUUUCCAAACUUUGCAGAAGUGAAACGUCCUCUCAAAUGCUCACUUUGAAAAGGGGGACAGUACCCAGACGAGACUCUCCCCAGAUACAAUAAGUGCAAGAUGCUAUCGUGCUGAAAUUAACCUACUGGCUAGGGUGUUUCCACCAACUGGGAUUAAAGUCACAGGCAAUGGAUUCUUGAUAUUGACCAACUGGCAUCUUGGUGAGGACGUAAUCUCUGCAACAGACUUUUGCCAAGUAUUGAUUCUAGGUAUGCAAUCGUGUUUGAGAUCUUACUAGGAAUUGGCUUGCUUUCUGAAUAUGACUCUUUAGGAAACGAAAAGAAGGGUACAUCACAGCCUUGGCUGGUGAUAUUUUUAAAUUUGGAGGCCCUGAAGGGGACUGCUUUUAUUCCAGUGAGAUACAAUUUAUGUUGUAGUUGCCAAAAGAUCUCUCUGAUUCUUAGGCAUUGCAAUCAAUCCAUCCAGCCGGCAUAGAGCAAAAUAAGCAGAGAACGUGAUUUUGGGGCCUUUAAUUUCUCUGCAUUUUAACCCAUAAAAACAAGUGCUGGGGAUCACUGGGCCUUGGGCAUGUGAGGCAAGACCACUGGUUCUAUCCCAGGUCUUUUUUAUGGAGCUCAGGUUCAUCACAGACUUGUGGGUCUUGGCCCACUGAAUCUCAACAGACCACCGGGGAUCCCUCCACCAAGAUGAAGCCAGAGUGGCACUGACAUCUUGGACAGACCAGCCUGCUUGGAAACCUACCUAGCCUAGCUCUGGGCUCCUUCUUCUCACCCACAAAUAUUAAUGACUUCUUUAUGUAAAAGGAACGGCUGUAUCUUUUCUGCCAACCUACUUCCAUUUGGCUUGAGGGCCUGUGGAAGAGCAGCUUGACUGCUCUGAGGUUGUUCCUACCCUUCAUGGGCUGUGCGAUGGGGAACAAGCCUAUUUGAUGUGGUUCUUCCCUCCUCAGCUUUUGGCCUACCUGUCAAUCAUCCAGACACACCUAGAGCUUUGGUAAUCUGCUAGGCGUUCUUACCCAAGUCAAAUUGACGCAUCACAAUUAGUGAUCACCACAUGGCCCCUGGAUCUGGUUCCAGGCAAAAGAAGUACAGUAGUAGAAGCAGCUCUAGGGAUGGCAGCAGACUUCAUGAUGGCCCCUGGCUAGGUUUCCGGAGGAUGUGACGUUGAUACCAGCAGGGUUUUCAGGCUGCAGUGGCAUGAGUGGCCAGUGGACUUCCCAGGUCUUCUUCAGAUUCAAGAUGCAGACGUCAGCAUUUCCCUUUGUAGAGAUACUGUUCCAUCGGGAAGUCAAGGUUGAUGCCACCAGAGUGGGUUUGUUUUCCUUCAUUCUUCUCCUUUAUCAAGAACUCUGAACAUUGUGGAAAUUUCCCCUUAACGUACAACAAGAAUCCAGAACAAUCCCAUAUAGAGCCCUCUCUGGGCAAAGGAAAUGACUUAUUUUACUUAACUAAUUUUCUUUCCUUCUUUCUUUCUUUCUUUCUUUCUUUCUUUCUUUCUUUCUUUCUUUCUUUCUUUCUUUCUUUCUUUCUUUCUUUCUUUCCUCUCUCUUUUCCUUCCUCCAUCCUUCCUUCUUUCCUCUCCUUUUCUCUUUUCCCUUUUGUCUCUUUCCUUUCUCUCUCGGUCUCUCUCUCCUUUGUGUGUGUACUGGGAAUUUAACCCAGGGCCUUUGCACUGAGCUACCUCCCCAACCCUUUUUAAAAAAUGUCUUUAUUUUAAAGCACAAUCUCACUAGGUUGCUCAGGCUGGCCUCAAAGUCCAAGGCACAAGCGAUCCUUCAGUCUCAGCCUCCUGAGUGGCUGGAACUACAGGUGCCUGCCACUGUGCCCUACUUUUAAUUAACCUUCUACUGAAAAAUAAAGCAGAUUCGGAAAACCGUAUAAAACAAAUUAUUGUAAAGAGAACCUCUUUGUAAUUACCACCCAGGUCAAGAAAUAAAAUCAUCAGUCCCUUUGUGUCACCUCUGACCUCAGCCUUCUUCCAUCUACUAAGAGUUAC
rnacentral:lncRNA from 1 species